UGUGAGCUCGAUGAGUAGGGCGGGACACGUGGUAUCCUGUCUGAAUAUGGGGGGACCAUCCUCCAAGGCUAAAUACUCCUGACUGACCGAUAGUGAACCAGUACCGUGAGGGAAAGGCGAAAAGAACCCCGGCGAGGGGAGUGAAAAAGAACCUGAAACCGUGUACGUACAAGCAGUGGGAGCACGCUUAGGCGUGUGACUGCGUACCUUUUGUAUAAUGGGUCAGCGACUUAUAUUCUGUAGCAAGGUUAACCGAAUAGGGGAGCCGAAGGGAAACCGAGUCUUAACUGGGCGUUAAGUUGCAGGGUAUAGACCCGAAACCCGGUGAUCUAGCCAUGGGCAGGUUGAAGGUUGGGUAACACUAACUGGAGGACCGAACCGACUAAUGUUGAAAAAUUAGCGGAUGACUUGUGGCUGGGGGUGAAAGGCCAAUCAAACCGGGAGAUAGCUGGUUCUCCCCGAAAGCUAUUUAGGUAGCGCCUCGUGAAUUCAUCUCCGGGGGUAGAGCACUGUUUCGGCAAGGGGGUCAUCCCGACUUACCAACCCGAUGCAAACUGCGAAUACCGGAGAAUGUUAUCACGGGAGACACACGGCGGGUGCUAACGUCCGUCGUGAAGAGGGAAACAACCCAGACCGCCAGCUAAGGUCCCAAAGUCAUGGUUAAGUGGGAAACGAUGUGGGAAGGCCCAGACAGCCAGGAUGUUGGCUUAGAAGCAGCCAUCAUUUAAAGAAAGCGUAAUAGCUCACUGGUCGAGUCGGCCUGCGCGGAAGAUGUAACGGGGCUAAACCAUG
rnacentral:rRNA from 1 species